rnacentral:rRNA from 1 species
UAGCAUAGAGUGCCGAAAUAAAAUAAAUUAGUAAGAUAUAGAGCUUAGUAACUUGUUUUUAUAUUUUAGCUCAUUAAGGAUAAGCUUAAUGAGGGGUAUAGGAGAAAUAUACACUUUAAUGGGUUAUAUAGGCCUGAAAUUAGCCACUAUAGCAGAAUUUGUUAUAAAAUAAUUCCUUUAGGAAAGAAAAUUUUUAUAUUUUCCACUCUAUAUUUCAAUAAGGGUAAAAAGCUGAAUUGAUAGGCUUAAUUUAUUUAUGCUAAAAUGAGUAUUUUUUAAUUAGCAUGUGCGGGUAAAUGUUAAAAGUGCCCACAGUAAUAUGCAAUUUUGAGAUUGAAAUGAGGGGAAGGAACUCGGCAAAUUUUAGCUUCGCCUGUUUAUCAAAAACAUGGCUCCUUGUUACUUUAAUAUGGGGAGUCAGACCUGCCCAGUGAAAUUUUUUAACGGCCGCGGUACCCUGACCGUGCAAAGGUAGCAUAAUCAUUUGCCUUAUAAUUGAAGGCUUGUAUGAAUGGUUUGACGGGAGCAUUGCUGUCUCCUCCUCAAUAAAUAGAACUUGAUCUUUAGGUGAAGAGGCCUAAAUAUAAUUGAAAGACAAGAAGACCCUGUCGAGCUUAAAAACUAAGCUAGGAACAAAUAUAAAGCCUAAAUUUAUUGCUAGUUAUCUUUUUUGGUUGGGGCGACCGAGGAACAACAAGAGCUUCCUUUCUUACACUCUAACUUAUAGGUAUUGAUCCAGCCUAAAGCUGAUUAAAAAAAUUAGUUACCGCAGGGAUAACAGCAUAAUCUCUCUUGAGAGACCAAAUCGAAAGAGGGGGUUGUGACCUCGAUGUUGGACUAGAAUAUCCUAAAGAUGCAGA